UACGUAGGGGGCAAGCGUUGUUCGGAAUUACUGGGCGUAAAGGGCGCGUAGGCGGCACGGCAAGUCGGGAGUGAAAGCCCGGGGCUCAACCCCGGAACGUCUUUCGAAACUGCCGAGCUAGAGUGCGGAAGGGGCAACUGGAAUUCUCGGUGUAGCGGUGAAAUGCGUAGAUAUCUGGAGGAACACCGGUGGCGAAGGCGGCAUCCUGGACCAACACUGACACUGAUGAGCGAAAGCCAGGGGAGCAAACGGGG
rnacentral:rRNA from 1 species